rnacentral:rRNA from 1 species
CGUGGGGUAACCUGCCCAAGAGAUCGGGAUAACACCUGGAAACAGAUGCUAAUACCGGAUAACAACAGAUGAUGCCUAUCAACUGUUUAAAAGAUGGUUCUGCUAUCACUCUUGGAUGGACCUGCGGUGCAUUAGCUAGUUGGUAGGGUAACGGCCUACCAAGGCGAUGAUGCAUAGCCGAGUUGAGAGACUGAUCGGCCACAUUGGGACUGAGACACGGCCCAAACUCCUACGGGAGGCAGCAGUU